GGCACUUUGGCGGAGUGGUUAACGCGAUGCCCUGCUAUAGAUGCUACUGCAUUAGUAGGAAGGCAUUCCCUUCGGGGGCGUGUGUUCGAAUCACACAGGUGUCG